UGGGCAACAAGAGGAGCAGAGGGAGGAGCGGCGAGAGAAGCGAGCGAGUGGCCCACUGCAGUAUUGAUGACCCAAUGAUCCCCUGCAGAACUCAGCCAGCCAGGCAGACAGACUGAGGCUCCACUCGCAAUCCCAGUCAACGGCGGCGAGCGAGCGGUUGUAGCGGGACGCCAACGGCCCGCAAUCUUCUUGACCAGCUGCAGAGGACAACAAAGUGCUUGCAUGGACAUUUGGACUCUAACUGGUUGAGGACAAAGGUGAAGGGCCCGAGCUCUGGACCUGGGGGUUCCUAGGUCACGCGCGCCAUGACCUGGAACCGGUGACCCUCCACACUGGCUAACGGCCUCCAUCUACAGCAAGGGCCGGGCGCCGUGUCUACUGACGGGAAGCAGCUGGCGUCGAGGCGCUGGGAAUCAUGCAAACACACAUAGACGCACAGACGCUUUCUCACGCCAAUUUGGAUUCUCGUGGACCCGCACGUUCGGUUUCCGCGAGAACUGCACGCACAUCGUCACCUCAGCCUUUGUCGUUAGCGCUUGGCAAUCAUCCCACUUCGGUGCGGACCCUCGCAGCAGAAAUGGAUACGCCCUCAAAGAUUGGUCCGGUUCCUGCCAAUCUGAACCAGAACACGGGUUCCACGCCUCUUCUGGUGGAGGCCGAGAGGAAGUAUGCGCUCCGCAGCUCCGGACGUUCCCGCUUCCCCUGUCACGUGCGCAAAUCCUCCCGCCUCCGCCGAACGCCGGAGAACGGCGAGCGGAAAUCGGAUAAGGACAAAGGAGGCGAGGAGGAGGUGAAAGCAUCGGAAGAGAAGAUCUGGAGGGUGAAGGAGGAGAAGGUGGAGGCGGUGAUUCUGAAAAAGGAACAGCCAACUGUUGAGGCUCCGCCCCUCGCCGCCGCCUCCCCUGUAGGUGCUCCUCUUGCGCUAACCGUACCGGAACCCGUCUCCAAAGCUGCGCCGAAACCAGGGCCCAGACUCGGACACAGACCCGGACCCAAAUCUAGGUCGAGGCCCGUUCCCAAGUCGGUACAGAAACCCGGCCCGAAAAGCGUCAUGAGACGGCGUCUGGCGGCAGCCAAGGCCGCCGCAGAGUGCGGCGCCGCUCUCCUCCCUCCGCCGAUGGUGGGGGCUGGCGGGCCGCACGUGAAGAAGGAGCCCGUGGAGCUGCAGAUUUUGUCUCCCAGCGGCAGGAGGUGUGGACGUUUUGUCGGAGUGAGGAGGAUCGUCGUCAAGGUGGCUCGCAUUCCCGUCAGCCUCGGCCGGCGACAGAAAACCUACAAGAUUUCCAAUUUGGAGACAAUUACGGGAGCGGAGAAGAGCAACGACGGGAACUCGGAAGGCCCAGAGGUGGUCAAGGAGCCCACCGCGCUGCUCCGCAUGAAGAACAACGGCAAAAGCGUCAUGGUCAUGUUCCCCCCCGGGGAGCUGCCGGUUAUUCUUAAACGACGGCGGGGGCGCCCACCUAAACAGGCCGUGCCCUUGAUUGCAGGAGAGACCCCCAAUGCUUGUGGGAACGGAGACCAGAUCAAGAAGCCCAGGAGGAAGCGGCGGACUAAACUACCUUGUCCUUUCCCGUCGUACGUCAACGACGCUAAUGAUGUGAAGACGGAGUAUGGGGACGUGCUGUCCAAACUGGCCUUUUUGAACCGCCAGCCCCCUACCACGGGACGAUGUUCCCCGCCUCGCUGCUGGACACCCAGCGAGCCGGAAAGCUUCCACACCCCCUCGGAAAACCCGGGACUGUCCACCCUCCUGCACCGGCUCACUGGGUUUCGGCGGCCUCGGGGCGGCAGAGGGGGCGCCGGGAGAGGUAGUGGCGGAGCAGGGGGCGCCGGGGGGAGGGAACAUAAUGACAGCACCUUCAGUGACUUCUUUGAAUCCAUUGGCAAGAAGCGCAAGCUGAGUCCCUUCUCUGAGCACGGACUACCCAGGAAGAGGGGGAAGAGGGUUGGGGGUGUCGGCAGAGGAGGCGGGGUGGUUGGAACGGAGCUUGGGGGCGAGAAAGCAGUCAGGAAGAGACGAGUCAGAAAAAACGGCACAUUCAAAGGGGAGGAGGAUGGCACGGGACAGGACUGGCCUAAUGGGUCCGGAGGCUGGGGGGAGAAAGCUUUAAGAGGAUAUCAGCUCUGUGUGUCUACAAGGGGGGGCUUUUCUUCCUGUGAGGUCGGGAGGAGGGGGGGCUACGGCCGCUCAGGUGGGGGAAGGGGUGUCGGACCAGCCGGGGAGGACUCACAAGGUCUGUUUGCCGGAUAUUUCCGAUCCCUGCUGGACUCUGACGACUCCUCGGAACUUUUGGACAUUGCACAAUCAAACGCCCGCAAAGAUUCAUCGGCCCCCGGUUACGAGCCAUCCAGCCCUGCCCCGGGUCACAGGUGGUCCCCCGCCAAAUGGGGCGCCAACGGGACAAGCUCGGCGGCAGAUGAAUCGGGACAGACACACUGCUCCUCAGCCGGGCCGCCAUACAGCUACGGGGGCCAGACCCAAACGUCCCCGACCCCAUCCACCUACCACAAAUCUACUCCUCCAUCUCUCUCGCACUCUCCCAGCUCCCCCCACCCAGCCGGCUAUGGCCACUACUCGCCCGCCUACGCCUCGUCUUCUUGCAUCGGGCCCCAAAGGUCGUCGGACUGCAGUUUUUCCUAUGUCAAGAACGUGGUUCAGGACCGUGGUCCGAUGGGUUACUCCAGCUACCACGCAGCCAGAAAGGGCUACGGCGGGAGUGCUGGAGCAGGGCCCGCGUCACCAGGGGCGGGGUUCAUGUCGGUGGCCAAGGGCAGCCCCUUCAGCUCCUCCUCCUCGCCAGAAUGUUAUAAACAGUACAACUGCAACCAGUGGAGCUACAGACAAGGCUACGGUGGCUGGGCAGCUGACAAUUUCGGGCCGCACGCUUACGGCGAAUACGGUGCCAAUGAAUCGAAGGACAUCUUGGACAUCUCAAAUUACACCCCCCAGAAGGCAAACAGACCGCCUUUCCCUGAGAGUCUUUCUGAGUCGUCCUCUGACUCCUCGCACCCCGGCUCGGCAGCCGCUGGGGGCGGUCCUCCCUCCGUGGGGGGCGUGUUCAAACAGAUGGAGACGGUCAGCGCAGACGGGGGUCAGUCUAGCCUGUCCAGCCUGGAGAAACUUAUGAUCGACUGGCACGAGAGCGCUUCGGGACCCUCGUAUAGCUGGAGCCAGAAUGUCCUCUUCCAGGGCGGCGGCACCAGCAAACCCGGCCGGGGUCGCAGGAAACGGACUGAACAAUCGGAAAAGGAAGCGGGCUCCGUUUUGCACUCCGACUCCCCAUCCAGCCCCUCUUCGACACCCACUCCUGGACCUAAGCGGGGAGGACGGGGUAGAGGAUCCAGGGGAGCGAGAGGCGGGCUGUCCGGGUGUCAGAGAGAGCGUCUUUCAGGAUCCAAAGGCAGGGGAAAGGCCGCUGCUGCAGCACUGACGGCUCCAGGUCUAGACUCUGGGCUGUUCCAGGAGGGGCUGGACUACUACAGCGGGGACAGUAGCAGCCUCUCCCCCUUGGCUACUCCCACCCAUGCACUGCCAUCCAGCUACCUCCAGGACCCCUGUGAGUACCCCUCCCCUUACUCGGCCCACCCCUCCACGCCGUCCUCUGAGGAGCGAUAUCCAGCGUUGUACCCUGGAGAGUCCUCCUCCUCGCUCUCACCCAGCGUCUCGUCUCCCCCUUACCCCCCCAAGCCCCAGUCCUACCACCUCGUCCCCUCCAGAACCUUCUCCCCCUCAUGCUCCCCUCUACCACGGGUAACGCCCCAUUGCAGCUCCGCCAUGAGUCCCUCCAAUCGCCCCCCGCCCAAAGAGGCACAUUUCUCCCAGUACGACUCCCCCAGUUACUGCGGCUCCCCCUACUGGUACGGACAAACGUCGCACAGCAGCAGCCCGAGCCCGAGUACAUCGGCCCACCCGCACACCAGCCCGCACGCGAACACUCACGGGAGUCUGCUCGCGAGCCCAAACGCACACAUGAACCCGCCUCCUCAUGACCCGCAGCAUCACAACGCCCACGGGACCCUGAGCUCCCAUGCCAAAUCUUACCCCGCUAACAAUCAGCCCCAUCAGGUUGCCGCUCACUCCCUCUCCUUGCCCUCGCUCUACGACGAGUGCAGUACCGCCGCCGCCCACAAGCAGGAGCUCACCCUGCAUGCCAUUGCCGCGGGCGCCCGGCAGGGCCUGCUGACGCCCCCGCCCUCCUAUCCGAAAGCCACCCUGGACCCUCUGACGGCGCACGAGGAGUCAGGCGGCUACUCCCUGUCCCAGCUGUCCUGCCAGGGGAUGGGGCACCGCUACCCCUCGCAGGUGUCUCAGGGAGGAGGAGGGGUGCUGUGCCAGCUUCUGGACCCGGCACACGAUGACAGCUUUAGCGUGACCAGCCUGUAACAGCAGGUGCGAUCAAUCUGAGCUUUUAACAGAUUUGCAAACAUUGUUUUUCUCGCUUUUGUACGGUUGACUUUUUUUCUUUCUUUUUUUUUGUGCCAGACUGUGGAAUGAAGGGUGAGAAUUUAGCUGCCGGCUUUGGACAGUAAAGCUUUAAUUCUCCAGCAUUGACAAUCAAGCUCAACAUGCAAACGCCAACACUGAAGCAUGCACACAAACACACACAGCAGGGCUGGGCGAUAUGGCUGAAAACCGUAUCACGAUGCAAGUGUUUUAUAUCGGUCGAUAUCGAUAAUUGUUGAUACUGUACCUUUUAUCACUUAUGGAAAAUAUGGACCAGGAGAAAAAUAUAUAGAAUAUUUAUUUCAAAUGUAACUUUUCUCUGAUUAUAAUUCCCUCAACACAAGUGUAGAAAACAAUGUAAACAAAAUGGCAAAACCAAAUUGAAAAAAAUGAAGGCGCAAAAAUAAGGAAUAUGUGAAAAAUGCUUAAUAAAGUGUAAGAAAAUAGUGCAAAGUGUGAAAAUGUAAACAUAAAGAAACCUGAGAAGAACUACUUUCUGCAGGUUUAGUGCCAGGAAGUUACAGCUGUGCUCUAAAGGGUGAGCGCCUUGCAUCAUUCACAGACCACAUUGGUCUGACUACGGUCCCUUUUUAAAAGAAAUCCAAAAAAGUGUUAUAAUGUCCAGGUGACUUUCACUCUUUUAUCCACAAUUUCUUCAUUUUUACUUUCUCUUCUCACUCCAUGCCAAGAAUCAACCGCCAGACAACUGAACUUGAUAGUUGAUACUGUCACCCGAUUGGCUGUUGGCGUGUCACUCCCACUGAUCAGUGAUCCCUUUAGGGCUGCAUGAUAUUGAGAAAAAACCUAAUAACUGUUUUUUCUGCCCAAAACUACGAUUCGAUUUGCGAUUUUUAUAUUUGAGAAAUAUAAAUGCAUAAAAUAAAAUACUUUUAGACUGUCAGUCAACACAACAAUAUGCAAUAAUCUACUUUAUAUUUGGCUUUAUGCAGACAGACUUUUGUCUACAAUGUGCUUUUAAACUGAAGAAAUAACCAAUAAAAACUAUGCAGUGAUCAUAAUGUACUGUAAUCAUAAUAUAAUAAUAUUGCAAGUAACCAUUUAAAAGGAUUUAAUGACUGUAUCAUUACUUAGAAUUGUUUACCAUUGCACUGUAAUUGGAAGGUAAAUAAUUUUGAGUUAUCCAAAAUAAACAAACAAAAUUUACUCAUUUCUGUAAACAAACAUUUAAAUUAAAUAUAAACAUAUUAAAGUGCAUUUUUUAACCAGUUGAAACAUUUUUUCUUGUUGCCAUCACGUCAUUCUCGCUCGUUUUAUCCGUGUUGAUGGGCUUAUAUUGCCCCUCUGUUUUGAAGCUGAAAUAUUCCCAAAGGGGGACAUUUGUACUUCCUGUGUGUGUGAGCUCGCCGUCCUGCGCUCUACACACCCGAGACAAAGAUUGUGGACGACUGAAAAGAGGGCUCACUGCGUUCAGUUAAUUCUACUGUUAAAUAAACGCGAUGCACAGAGUGAGACCUCGUUCUACCAGGUUGAGACUCACAAUUUAUCAAUGCCGGCAAAAUAUUUUAACUUAAUUUUCAUUCAUCGUUUGACUAAUUGAUUUAUUGACUAUCGGCCCAGGCCUAGUCACCAUCAAAAGUUUUUCCACUGAUUUUCUUUCAGAUCCGAUACCAAGUAAAAUUCAUGCUGGUAACAGCGAUACCGAUCCGAUACCAAUUCUUUGUGCAAAUAAUAACAUAUAGUAUCUUUCUAAAAACAAACUAUGUGUAAGAAUGUGAUAAUGUAAGAAAAAAGAGCAACACAAUGGACUCUAAUGAGGAAAAAGCUGUCAUUUUUUUACUACUACUAAUAAUAACACCACAAAAUGCUGCCUUUAAAUAUACCUGUAUAUAUCAGUUUUUAGUAUGUUUUUAAAACUAAAAAGACAGUCAGUUCAGACAACCCUGAUCUAAAAUAUUAGAAGCUCUCCAAAUAAAAAAUUAAAUAUAAACAGUUAAGUUUGUUAAUUAAAAAAAUAAUAAAAUAACAUAUGCAUUAAUUUGAAAAAUUACAACAAUCAUAAUAAAUACUAAAAUGUGUAACUGAACAUUAAUGUUUUCGCACAGGCAGAAUAUUUAACACACUAGGUUAUUUAGUUAGGCAAUAAUCGCGCAGCCUUAAAUCACUUCCUGCUUUGAGCGACUGCCUUUGUUCAUGCAACUAAACCUCGCUUCCAUACUUUGGCUUUCUUCCCACCAAGAAGCAAAGAAGUUGUCAAUCAUUUUAUCAAACGCAUUUUUUAUUGAUAUCAAUUAUUGAACAUUUUAUCAAAGGCAUAUUUUAUUGAUAUCAAUUAUCGAACAUUUUAUCAAACGCAUAGUUUAUUGAUAUCAAUUAUUGAACAUUUUAUCAAAGGCAUAUUGUAUUGAUAUCAAUUAUCGAACAUUUUAUCAAACGCAUAGUUUAUUGAUAUCAAUUAUUGAACAUUUUAUCAAACGCAUUUUUUAUUGAUAUUGAUUAUCAAACAUUUUAUCAAAUGCAUAUUUUAUUGAUAUCAAUGAUCAAAUAUGUUAUCAAAUGCAUAUUUUAGUGAUAUCAAUUAUCGAACAUUUUAUUAAAUGCAUUUUUAUAAUAAAUAAUAAAUGGGUUAUACUUGUAUAGCGCUUUUCUACCUUCAAGGUACUCAAAGCGCUUUGACAGUAUUUCCACAUUUACCCAUUCACACACACAUUCACACACUGAUGGCGGGAGCUGCCAUGCAAGGCGCUAACCAGCAGCCAUCAGAGGCAAAGGGUGAAGUGUCUUGCCCAAGGACACAACGGACGUGACUAGGAAGGUAGAAGGUGGGAAUCGAACCCCAGUAACCAGCAACACUCCGAUUGCUGGCACAGCCACUCUACCAACUUCGCCACGCCAUCCCCUUUCACUGAUGUCAAUUAUCGAACAUUAUAUCAAAUGCAUAUUUUAUUGAUAUCAAUUAUCAAAUAUUUUAUCAAACGCAUUUUUCAUUGAUAUCAACAAUCAAAAUUUUAUCAAACGCAUAUUUUAUUGAUAUCAAUAAUCGGAACAUUUUAUCAAACGCAUAUUUUAUUGAUAUCAAUAAUCGAACAUUUUAUCAAACACGUAUUUUACUGAUAUCGAUUAUCGAACAUUUCAUCAAACACAUUUUUUAUUGAUAUCGAUUAUUGAACAUUUUAUCAAAGGCAUAUUUUAUUGAUAUCAAUAAUCGAACAUUUUAUCAAACACAUAUUUUACUGAUAUCGAUUAUCGAACAUUUCAUCAAACACAUUUUUUAUUGAUAUCAAUUAUUGAACAUUUUAUCAAAGGCAUAUUUUAUUGAUAUCAAUUAUCGAACAUUUUAUCAAACGCAUAGUUUAUUGAUAUCAAUUAUUGAACAUUUUAUCAAACGCAUUUUUUAUUGAUAUUGAUUAUCAAACAUUUUAUCAAAUGCAUAUUUUAUUGAUAUCAAUGAUCAAAUAUGUUAUCAAAUGCAUAUUUUAGUGAUAUCAAUUAUCGAACAUUUUAUUAAAUGCAUUUUUAUAAUAAAUGAUAAAUGGGUUAUACUUGUAUAGCGCUUUUCUACCUUCAAGGUACUCAAAGCGCUUUGACAGUAUUUCCACAUUUACCCAUUCACACACACAUUCACACACUGAUGGAGGGAGCUGCCAUGCAAGGCGCUAACCAGCAGCCAUCAGAGGCAAAGGGUGAAGUGUCUUGCCCAAGGACACAACGGACGUGACUAGGAAGGUAGAAGGUGGGAAUCGAACCCCAGUAACCAGCAACACUCCGAUUGCUGGCACAGCCACUCUACCAACUUGGCCACGCCGUCCCCUUUCACUGAUGUCAAUUAUCGAACAUUAUAUCAAAUGCAUAUUUUAUUGAUAUCAAUUAUCAAAUAUUUUAUCAAACGCUUUUUCAUUGAUAUCAACAAUCAAAAUUUUAUCAAACGCAUAUUUUAUUGAUAUCAAUAAUCGAACAUUUUAUCAAACACGUAUUUUACUGAUAUCGAUUAUCGAACAUUUCAUCAAACACAUUUUUUAUUGAUAUCGAUUAUUGAACAUUUUAUGAAACGCAUAUUUUGAUAUCAACUAUCGAACAUUUUAUCGAACGCAUUUUUUAUUGAUAUUGAUUAUUGGACAUUUGAUCAAAUGCAUAUUUUAUUGAUAUCAAUUAUCGAACAUUGUAUCGAACACAUUUUUUAUUGAUAUUAUUAUUGAACAUUUUAUCAAACACAAUUUUUUAUUGAUAUUGUUUAUUGAACAUUUUAUCAAAUGAAUAUUUUAUUGAUAUCAAUGAUCGAACAUUUUAUCAAACGCAUUUUUAUUGAUUUCGAUUAUCGAACAUUUUAUCAAACACAUUUUUUAUUGAUAUCGAUUAUUGAACAUUUCAUCAAGCGCAUAUUUUGAUAUCAAUUAUCGAUCAAAUGCAUAUUUUAUUGAUAUCAAUUAUUGAACAUUUUAUCGAAUGCAUUUUUAAUUGAUAUUGAAUAUUGAACAUUUUAUCAAACACAAUUUUUAAUUGAUUUUGAUUAUUGAACAUUUUAUCGAACGCAUUUUUUAUUGGUAUUGAUUAUUGAACAUUUUUAUCAAACUCAUAUUCUAUUGAUAUCGAUUAUCGAACAUUUUAUCGAAUGCGUUUUUUAUUGAUAUGGACUACGUGUCUAUGGCGAUAUGUAUUGACAUGGUUUUAUCGCCCAGCCCUAACACACACAGAGAACCAUGCAAGGUGGACUCUUAAUGGUGGGCGUGGUGGGAAGCUGAGUCCCGUCCCCAUCUCUCUGGUCCUGUGUGGCCAUCUUGCAGUAAAAACAGUCCAGAUGCGCUUUAUUGCCGUCUUUCCCCCCCCCCCCUUUCCUGUGUCUUUUCUCUCGCCGUUGUGCUCACCUGCACGUCUCUUUUCAACGCCAUCCGCCCGCAGCCUCCUUGUGUCCGGUGAGGAUGAGGACGAGGAGAAAAAAAAAAAAAAAGUGGAGCAGUUACAAUCCCGCUCUUGAGACACCAGCAUCUGUACAUACGUGCCACUCGAAAAAGUCCUCUGUCACGGAGACGCUACGUUUGUGUUUUUUGCUCUUUGAACGCCACAAAAAGGACCUCAGAGAGCGCAGGGGAGAAUGUCGCUCGCGUGACUGCAGUAAUGCAUGUGUGUGUGCGUGUGUGUGUGUGUGCGCGUGUGCGUGCGCAUGUGGGGUCGAAAAGAGUGGAGCGCAUUCUCUUUCACUCCCUUCUUUUUUUCUGUUCUGUGGUCUCGUUGUCGUUUGGUGGUUUCUUUGUGACGCGAAGUUGAAAAAAGUUGUAUCUGUCUGUUACAUAUCAUGUAUGUAUGUAUAAAUGUAUCCAAGGUGCAAAAUAUUUAAAUACACAUUCUGUUC